AAAUUGAAGAGUUUGAUCAUGGCUCAGAUUGAACGCUGGCGGCAGGCCUAACACAUGCAAGUCGAACGGUAACAGGAAGAAGCUUGCUUCUUUGCUGACGAGUGGCGGACGGGUGAGUAAUGUCUGGGAAACUGCCUGAUGGAGGGGGAUAACUACUGGAAACGGUAGCUAAUACCGCAUAACGUCGCAAGACCAAAGAGGGGGACCUUCGGGCCUCUUGCCAUCGGAUGUGCCCAGAUGGGAUUAGCUUGUUGGUGGGGUAACGGCUCACCAAGGCGACGAUCCCUAGCUGGUCUGAGAGGAUGACCAGCCACACUGGAACUGAGACACGGUCCAGACUCCUACGGGAGGCAGCAGUGGGGAAUAUUGCACAAUGGGCGCAAGCCUGAUGCAGCCAUGCCGCGUGUAUGAAGAAGGCCUUCGGGUUGUAAAGUACUUUCAGCGGGGAGGAAGGGAGUAAAGUUAAUACCUUUACUCAUUGACGUUACCCGCAGA
rnacentral:rRNA from 1 species